GUGGUGGUCGUCGCUCAGUGGUUAAGACAUUGGACUUUUGAUCAGAAGGUCAUGUGCUCAAAUCCCAGUUGUUACC